rnacentral:lncRNA from 1 species
GUUGCAGAUGGGAAACCUGGAAAAGGGAUAACCUUUGAAAUGUAAAUAAAUAAAAUAUCCAAAACAAAACAAAACAAACAAACAAAAAAAAAAAAAAGAAAGAAAUCAAGGGAAAAAAAGAACUUCUCUAUAAGACAAAUAUGAUAAAUACUGAAAAAAAAGUAAAAAAAAAAGUAGCAAAGGAAAAAAAAAGCUGAGUGAGAAGGAGUGAAUGAGGAGGAGGAUUUGGGAAACAAGAUUAAGAUAGCAGCCUGAGCCUUGUGUGAACAUGGAGAUGGAGAUGCCCAGGCAGAGGAGUGACAUAAAACCCAGGCUCUUUUGGAACCAUCCAGAGAGAAGUGGGCUGGAUAUCUAACACCUUAGAGACUAGAGAGACCUGGACAAAAGACAGAGCAGUGAUGUCAGCAGUAGUGUUCAUUCCUUAUUGAUUUGUUUAUUCUUGAAUAAGUACCACCCUGCCAAUCACUAUGGGGCAGGACUUAUGCUAAGGGGUAGGGUUUUAAUCCAUAUGAAAAUGCUCUGCUAUACCCAGACUUUGUUACUUCCUAGAUCUUCCAUUAAACAUAGCAGUAACUGGAAAUACUGCUGUCAGUUUAUGAAUGGCGAUUCAUUUGGAGCUUAAAAAAAAAACAACAACAGACCUUUAAAUUACAUUUUUAUUUAAUUUGUUUGUUGUUGUUGGUGGUGUGACAAGUAGCCAGAGGAUAACUUGUGGAAGUCGGUUUUCUCCUUUUCACCCUAUGUGUCCUGGGGAUUGAACGCAGGUUCGAGAACGUCUCUACAUAUUUCCUUCCCAAAACAUGAGUAAUAUCAUGGGACAGUGGUUUGCUUGCUAGGGUGAGUGGGUCUUUUCUUCAAUCCUUUUUAUCCUCAAAGGGUAUUUGUGUUGCUCCGACCCCGACCCCGAGAAAAUUCUGUUCAUUGGCCUGGGGCAUGGAAAUUGGAGGAAAUUCUAAAACCUUAAACCCCAAGUUUGAGGACUCUCUCAGUGGGGUUCUGUUUCCUUGCCUCUGACUUCCAGUAGUCUUUUGUAAGCACACAUCACCCAGGCAGAAAUCCAGAUUCGAACUCAGAGGAUCAGGGCAAGAGUGUGCGUUUCUGUUACCGUGCUGGUGAUUCAUACUCUGAACCACACUAGAGUGCCAGGGAAAUGAAAUAUUUUUUUUUCUUUACUAGUAACAGAUAGCCAAAAUGAUUUUUGAAUGUGUGUAGUUUAACUUUAGUAACCAUACUGUGUGCUGUUUUCAAUAACCUUGGGUACAUAUGCAUCAUGUUUAGCCAUAUGAGCAUAAUCAAUGCAUUAUCACUAUUAAUACAAGUAGAGCUUCUGUGUUCAAUCAUUGUGUUAUCCGACAGCACCAGUAAGACAAACAGUUAUAAAUUUAUUUCCAUUUUAACUGGCUGAAGCAAAUAUGUUUAAAAAUUGAUAUCUGAAUAUAAUAUAAAGCCUUUGUAUAAAAAAUAUUUACUGUACUCUCUUAGUGUGAUUUCUGCUGCUGUGAUAAAAUACUGACCAAAACAAACAUGGGGAGGAGUGGGUUUAUUUGGCUUUUAGGUUCCGUCAACCACUGAAGGAAGCCAAGGUAGGAACCAUAGAGACUAGGAACACUGCUUAUGAGCAUGCUUCCCGAGGCUUGCUCAGCCUGCAUUCCUGUACAACCCAGACCCGCUUGGUCAGGAGUGGUGGUACCACCUUCAAUGGGCCCCUCCCACAAUCAUUUACCAAUCAGAAAAGAUGCUAUACAUAUAUACCCACUGGGGGCAUUCUCUCUGUUGCAUUUCCCUCUUCCCAAAGGACUCUAGCUUGUGCAAAGUUGGCAUAAAAUUAGCCAACAUAUGAUUGCUCGGCUUGCUUUCUUAUAUGGUCCAGAACUAGAGUGAGCUGGGCCCUUCCACAUCCAUCAGCAAGAAAAUGCCUUCCAAAAAGGCCCAGAAGCCAGUCUGACGUAGGUAAUCUUUUAGAGUUCCCCCUUCACAGGUGACCCUAGUUUGUGUCAAAUUGACAAAACCCAACUAGCACAUAAACUAUCAAUGAGAAUAUUUCUGUAUAAAGAGCUAUAUUUGAAUGUUCACUGUAGUUUAUUUACACUAAACAAAAAUCUGC